UCAGUGGCGAACGGGUGAGUAACACGUGAGUAACCUGCCCUUGACUCUGGGAUAAGCACUGGAAACGGUGUCUAAUACCGGAUACGAGCUUCAGCCGCAUGGCUAGGAGCUGGAAAGAAUUUCGGUCAAGGAUGGACUCGCGGCCUAUCAGCUAGUUGGUGAGGUAAUGGCUCACCAAGGCGACGACGGGUAGCCGGCCUGAGAGGGUGACCGGCCACACUGGGACUGAGACACGGCCCAGACUCCUACGGGAGGCAGCAGUGGGGAAUAUUGCACAAUGGGCGCAAGCCUGAUGCAGCAACGCCGCGUGAGGGACGACGGCCUUCGGGUUGUAAACCUCUUUUAGAAGGGAAGAAGCGAAAGUGACGGUACCUGCAGAAAAAGCACCGGCUAACUACGUGCCAGCAGCCGCGGUAAUACGUAGGGUGCAAGCGUUAUCCGGAAUUAUUGGGCGUAAAGAGCUCGUAGGCGGUUUGUCGCGUCUGCUGUGAAAACUGGAGGCUCAACCUCCAGCCUGCAGUGGGUACGGGCAGACUAGAGUGCGGUAGGGGAGAUUGGAAUUCCUGGUGUAGCGGUGGAAUGCGCAGAUAUCAGGAGGAACACCGAUGGCGAAGGCAGAUCUCUGGGCCGUAACUGACGCUGAGGAGCGAAAGCAUGGGGAGCGAACAGGAUUAGAUACCCUGGUAGUCCAUGCCGUAAACGUUGGGAACUAGAUGUAGGGACCAUUCCACGGUUUCUGUGUCGCAGCUAACGCAUUAAGUUCCCCGCCUGGGGAGUACGGCCGCAAGGCUAAAACUCAAAGGAAUUGACGGAAUCGAAUU
rnacentral:rRNA from 1 species